AAGCCGGAAUCGCUAGUAAUCGUGGAUCAGCAUGCCACGGUGAAUACGUUCCCGGGCCUUGUACACACCGCCCGUCACACCACGAGAGUUUGUAACACCCGAAGUCGGUAGGGUAACCUUUAUGGAGCCAGCCGCCGAAGGUGGGACAGAUAAUUGGGGUGAAGUCGUAACAAGGUAGCCGUAUCGGAAGGUGCGGCUGGAUCACCUCCUUU
rnacentral:rRNA from 1 species